AUAUUAGAAAUUGACGAAAGUCUGAUCUAGCGACACCGCGUGUGCGAAGAAGGCCUUCGGGUUGUAAAGCACUUUUUGGAAGGAAUAGGAAGGAAGGUACUUCCAGAAUAAGUCUCGGCUAACUACGUGCCAGCAGCCGCGGUAACACGUAGGAGGCGAACGUUAUCCGGAUUUACUGGGCGUAAAGCGCGUGUAGGUGGUUCUGUAAGUAGGGCGUGAAAGCUCCUGGCUCAACUGGGAGAGGCCGUUCUAAACUGCAGAGCUAGAGGAUGGUAGAGGGAGGUGGAAUUCCAGGUGUAGCGGUGGAAUGCGCAGAUAUCUGGAGGAACACCAGUGGCGAAGGCGGCCUCCUGGACCAUUCCUGACACUCAGACGCGAAAGCUAGGGUAGCAAACGG
rnacentral:rRNA from 1 species